UUUCAGGAUGCUGUGUUGACUAGAGAUUGCAUGCACAGGAAAAAUUGGUUUGCAUAAAGGGAAUGAUGCUGAAGCACUGAAGGAAGGAGCCGAGAAACUCAUUCACAAUGCACAGGAGCUCAUGCGUGCUCUGCAAGAAGGAAGCCAGGCGCCUGGUGUCAAUGCUCCAAGUCUUCCAGCUAUCUGAUGCUGCGUUGUGCUCUUUGAUGUUCUGGUGGCCUUAAUUGUUUUGUUUUGGCUCUACUUCGUUUGCCCGUCUACUAAUGGGAUCUGUAAUUUUGAGAACUCUUAAAUUCUUGUGUUAGGUCAGUAGUUAGGCACAGGUUUUUGUCCUGUAGUCAGCGUUUUGAUUGCGAGCGCUGUCAGCGGGUUUCCUGCCCACGUAUUAGGCUCCUUUGUUUUCCUCCCCUGUUUCACUUUCCUGAUGUCAUGGACAAUGUAUUUCCGUUAUGCAAGUAAUGGAAAGAGGCGAGGAGCCCGGGUGUUAGCUGCUACGGGCGACCGCAUUCGUUUUCAGCACGCGACUACACUCGUUUUGACGUCAGUGC